rnacentral:rRNA from 1 species
GACGAACGCUGGCGGCGUGCUUAACACAUGCCAGUCGAACGGAAAGGCCUCUUUCGGGGGGUACUCGAGUGGCGAACGGGUGAGUAACACGUGAGUAACCUGCCCUUGACUUUGGGAUAACUUCAGGAAACUGGGGCUAAUACCGGAUAGGAGCUCCUGCUGCAUGGUGGGGGUUGGAAAGUUUCGGCGGUUGGGGAUGGACUCGCGGCUUAUCAGCUUGUUGGUGGGGUAGUGGCUUACCAAGGCUUUGACGGGUAGCCGGCCUGAGAGGGUGACCGGCCACAUUGGGACUGAGAUACGGCCCAGACUCCUACGGGAGGCAGCAGUGGGGAAUAUUGCACAAGGGGUGGAAGCCUGAUGCAGCAACGCCGUGUGCGGGAUGACGGCCUUCGGGUUGUAAACCGCUUUCGCUCAUGACGAAGCUUUGUGUGACGGUAGUGGGUAAAGAAGCACCGGCUAACUACGUG